rnacentral:rRNA from 1 species
CCCUUAGAUGUUCUGGGCCGCACGCGCGCUACACUGAUGCAUUCAACGAGUUUCUUCCUGGUCCGAGAGGAAUGGGUAACCUUUUGAAAGUGCAUCGUGAUAGGGAUAGACUAUUGCAAUUAUUGGUCUUCAACGAGGAAUUCCUAGUAGACGUAGUUCAUCAGACUGCAUCGAUUACGUCCCUGCCCUUUGUACACACCGCCCGUCGCUCCUACCGAUUGAAUGAUCCGGUGAGGCCCCCGGACUGUGGCAACGGCUUUGGUUCGCCAAACUGAUGUUGCGGGAAGCUGUCCAAACCUUAUCAUUUAGAGGAAGGAGAAGUCGUAACA